rnacentral:lncRNA from 1 species
AUGUGCCAGGUACCCUUGCAGGGGAUGCCUGGAGCCUGGCUACAUGGCCUGGCCACCCUGAUGCCCUUGUGUUCUUCAUGACAGGCCAGCAAGACUGAGGGGAAUGGCUCCGACAGCUUCAUGCUCUCCAUGGACCACAGCUGGAGUGGCAAGUGGAGACCAUUCAGAACCUGGUGGACUCGUACAUGGCCAUUGUCAACAAGAACAUGCAGGACCUCAUGCCCAAGACCAUCAUCCACCUCAUGAUCAACAACGUGCAUGCGUCGCCUCAUGGGGGUAGAGGGGACCCAGGUGGCCAUGUUGGCCUAGGGGAGAUGCAGACCAGCCUUAUGGGACCAGCCUCAGGAAGGGAGGCACAGUCCAGACCAGAGUUGUCCAAUAGAAAUAUAAUGUGGGAUUAUAGUGGUUCAUGCUUGUAAUCCCAGCACUUUGGGAGGCCAAGGUAGGAGGACGGCUUGAGCCCAGGAGUUCAAGACCAGCCUGGGCAACAUAAUGAGACCUCAUCUCAACACAAAAAUUUUAAAAAAUAGCUGGGCUUGGUGGUGGCAAGUACAUGUAGUCCUAGCUGCUCCACAGGCUGACGUUGGAGGAUCACUUUGAGCCCAGGAGGUUGAGGCUUCAGUGAGCAGUGAUCUCGCCCACUGUACUCCAGCCUGGCGACAAAGCGAGAUCCUAUCUCCAAAAAUUAAAAACUGAGUAGACAGGUGUCCUGGUGGCAUGAUAGGUCCUCAGUCCCCUCCCAGAACUGUGACCUUGGACAGGUGACUUUUCCUCUGGACCUCAGUGUCCUCAUCUGAGUGAGAAAAGGGCGGUGGGGAGGCGGAUCUUCGAGUCUAAGCGGUGUAGAAGCCGCGUCUGAAAAGCCAUACUCGCGGCUCCAAGUCCAGCGCACAGUCCCAACAGGGCCCGGCGGGGCAGCUAUGGCGGCCAGGGCAGCACAAGCAUCAAUCAGGUCCCAGUCUCCUUCCCUCUUUGCCCGCUCUCAGACCAAGGAGUUCAUCUUCUCGGAGCUGCUGGCCAACUUGUACUCGCGUGGGGAACAGAACACGCUGAUGGGGGAGUCGGCAGAGCAGGCACAGGGGCGCAACGAGAUGCGGCGCAUGCACCACGUGCUGAGGGAGGCGCCCAGCAUCAUCGGUGACAUCAAGACGACCAUCGUCAGCACACCCACGGGGUCCUGUGGAUGACUCCUGGCUGCAGGUGCAGAGCGUCCCGGUCGGACGCAGGUACCAGGGUCGGCCCCCACGGCCCCAAAGCCCCCCAGCCUGGGCCGCGGAAGAAGUGCCGGACCAGGCAGGGCGCGCCCCCAUCCCGGGGUGGCGCCUACUUGAAGCGAGAGGCGGAGCUUAGAGAGGGCGGGGCUUGCCGUGGAGCGCGGGCUGCGGGGCGGGGUGGAUCUGGGAGGUUGGCGCCGCUGGCGGCGGGGCUUAAGCUCCGGUGACCGCCUCGGGCCUUCAGGAAGGGGCUUGCAUGCAUGGGAGUGGCUGGCACUGGGCUGGGGCGGGGCCUUAGGGUGGGCGGGGCCGCUCAUCGCUCCUCUUUCUGUUCCUGGCUCCCUUUCGCCCGCAGGUCGCCCAAGUCCAGCCCCACGACGCAGUGCCGACUCCCCGCCGUGCCCCCAGCCCGGCCCGGGUUGCGGAGCCCUGCUCCUGGGCCUCUGCCUGCUGCGUCCACCCUGGGGGAAGCGCCCGUCGUACCCUCCACACCGGGGGCUUCCCCUGACCCCUUAGGCCCUCCCCCUGCAGGUGCCCUCGCGCCCCUCCCGGGGUCCCCAGGUGAGUAGGGGCUGAAUAUGACAGGAGAGGCCGCCGGACGGGCGUGGCCGGGAGGGAAAUGGGGCUGGAUUCUAGAGCGUCGGACCUGGCCGCCAGAACUGGCCGUCUCCGUCCCGGGCACUCCGACCGUGGGACCGGAGCCCUGAGUGGCGGAGAGCUGGCGGAGCCUGCCCCCAAAGGAGCACUGAGUCCCGGAAGUGGUCUUUUUGUGGAGGGGGCUGUGGGGCUCGUCCCACCUGCCCCCUUCUUUCCAGCACUUGCAUGGCGCUUCCCUCUAUUUUCACUCUUGGCGGCCGCCCCACACGUUGCAUUCCUCCUCGUUUCUUCUUCCCGCUGUCCUCCAUCCUCCAUUCCGUCAAACCCCUCUCCCAGCCCCUGGGGAGCCUACCUCAGGUCAGAGAGUCUGAACCCCGAGAUGUUCUGGGUGUGUGGAUUUCCUUCAGCUACCCUGAUGUCCCCACUUCCAAGUCCUGACUCCUUUGAGCCAUCCCAGGGGGUGUCUGGCCACUGGCCCACAGGAGCAGAGGCCAGGCUGUGACUGUGAGCAUCAAGGUGUGUGAUGUGUGUGUGGGUUUGCACACGAGUGUGAGUGGAAGAAUGGCACCAGGCCUGGGCUAGGACAGAAGCAGCUGGGGAAGGAGCCUGGGGGGCAUGGGCAAUCUGAUUUUUCCUCCACCCCCACCCCGCCCCCGCCCCCGCCCCCGCCCCAACCUACUGGGUCCAAACCAAUGUGGUAGGGGUGGCUGCAGGGGCAGGGAUGGGAGAGUCUGAAGCCUGCUUCACUCCCAAAGAUUUCUAAGGAAAAGCGUUCUGCAUCCUCUGGCUUGGCCUUGUUGACCCAUGGCCUCUUUCAAGGACAUUCACUCUGAUUCCCAGUGUGCCGGAUCCACUGGCCACGUUCUCUAAGGAAGAACAAUAGCAUCUGUUUUUGUCUCCAAAUGACUGUAGGGUAGGGCUGUGGGUCCAGCGCCCAUAAACCAAAAUGAGGCAGGGAUUGGGGCUUGCCCUAUGAUGCGCUGAUGACCCACGGAGAUGGGUAGAGGCAAGCAGCAUAGCACUGGGCAAGAGCACUGGACUGGGAGUCCAGAGACGCUGCUUCACCCUGGGGCUUUAGGCAAGUCCCUUUCCCUCCCAGAGCCUCAGCAUCCUUUCUAUCAAAUGAUGACUCUCUGCCUUUCUCCCAGAGUGGCCGUGGGGAUCAAGAGAGACAGUGGCCAUAGGGAUGCUGUGUUAACUGCAGAUGUGGCUGUAGGAGCACUUUGCUAACUGCCAAUGUGAGUUCAGACUCUUCAGGGUAUUUGGCAUCCAGGUCUGUGGUGAGGUGUGACAUAUGGGAUGUAAGGUUUGAUGCCUGCUCCGACUCCAGUCUUGCUAACACAUGCGAAACAUUUGGCAAAUCAUGACCCUUCCUUGGGGAAAAGAGCAGUCUAGGAGAGCUUCAAGGCAGCCUGGCUUCAACGCAGUCCGGGGCAUGACUGAGAUAGAAUUAUGUGGCGAGGAACUGGAGGGUAUCUGGGUACAGAGCUGCAGUGUGGGCAGAGGUGUAGUGUGGGCCGCAUCCAGGACAGCCACUGGCCAAAGCAGGGAACAGAGACGGAAUGAGGAAGAGCUCUGUGGGGAGGGUGAGGCAUAGGGUGGAAAACCUUCAAAGUCCGAAGAGUUUGACUUUUGGGGCUCAAUGCUGCAGGCCGUAGGGAGCCAUGGAAGGCUCUUAGGUGGGUCAGACUCUCUGACCUGAGGUAGAGAAAUGACAGCUGGACAUUAGCGAGCAAGCCCUGUCUCCAUGAGCAGCACAGGUGGUCCUCUGAACACACCAGGCACAAGUGUGCAGGGAGCUGGUGCAAAUGCCUCUGUGUGCAGGCGAGCUUCUGUGUUGUGACUCUGCCCACGUGUGUGGAUCAGUGUGCUGAGUGGCUGCACACCCAGAUCUGUGCUGCACGUGCCGGCCAGUGAGGGUGCUGGGCACUGCGAGGUGGCGGGGAAGGAGGCAUGUUAGGGCACAGUCUCCUAAAGGGCUCUGUGAGUCCACAUAUGCUUCUGGAGGAAGGGGCCCUGCACACCACAGACAGGGAGUGUGCUUCCGUAAAAGGAUCACUCAGCUGGGAGUCAGGCAGGCUGGCCACUAAUCCCAGCGCUGUGUGACCUCAGGCAGGCCCUACACCUCUCUGGACCUUGGUUUCCUUGUCUGUAAAAUGGAGGAAGGCUAGAAUGGCUGGUAAAUGCUCAGCUCUGUGAGCCAUCUGAACCUGCUUUGUUUCACCAGUGAGGAAUCACCCAUAAUGGGGGGAGACUAGAGCCACUCUAAACCUAAAGCAGGGUUAGAUGGUACAUGGAGCUGAGCAUUUGCUAUUUUAACUUUGUUUACUUUCAUGGAUAUAUUUCAUGUGUAUAUUUUCACAUAUAUGUGUAUAUGUAUGUGUCUGAGCGUGUAUGUGCAUGGUAUUUGACUAGUACAUCAGACCCUGAUUUCACAAAUAUGGCUAAAGACGAGGCUAAAACACACACUUAAAUUUUAAAAGUAAGCUGAUUUUUAAAAAACGCUAAGUAGAGUUCCAGUGGCAUCUGAGUGUGGCAAAAGUCCUGAUGAAAGGCGACAAAUGGCUGCAGCCCUGGUCUGAGUGUCCCUAUCCCCUUCCUGUCUAAGGGACAGUGGAUUCGGGGCCCCGGCCUCCCUGGAAUGAGAGAUGCACAGACUGGGCCGUGAUCUCCCACCGUGUCCUCACAGCCCCAAGACAGAAUGCCAUGCGGAUUGGCAGGAGACCUCACUGUGGGGUUCUUGGAGCCAACCCUCCAGGCCAUGUAGGGUCCAGCCCUACGGGACUUAGUGGGUGUUCUCCCCGUGUGCGGAGACGAGAGAUUGUAAUAAAUAAAGACACAAGACAAAGAGAUAAAGGGAAAACAGCUGGGCCCAGGGGACCACUACCAUCAAGACGCGGAGACCGGUAGUGGCCCCAAACAGCUGCGCCCGCUGAUAUUUAUUGCAUGCAAGACAAGGGGGCAGGGUAAGGAGGGUGAAUCUUCUAAGUGAUUGACAAGGUGAAGCAAGUCACGUGAUCACAGAACAGGGGGCCCUUCCCUCUUAGGUAGCCGAAGCAGGGAGAGAGAAGGCAGCAUACGUCAGCGUUUUCUUCUAUGCACUUAUAAGAAAGAUCAAAGACUUUAAGACUUUCACUAUUCCUUCUACCACUGUCUACUACAAACUUCAAAGAGGAACCAGGAGUACAGGAGGAACAUGAAAGUGGACAAGGAGCGUGACCAUUGAAGCACAGCACCACAGGGAGGGGUUUAGGCCUCCGGAUGACUGCGGGCAGGCCUGGAUACUAUCCAGCCUCCCACAAGAAGCUGGUGGAGCAGAGUGUUCCCUGACUCCUCCAAGGAAAGGGAGACUCCCUUUCGCGGUCUGCUAAGUAACGGGUGCCUUCCCAGACACUGGCGUUACCACUUGACCAAGGAGCCCUCAAGCGGACCUUAUGCGGGCAUGACAGGGCUCACCUCUUGCCUUCUACAUCACUUCUCACAAUGUCCCUUCAGCACCUGACCCUAUACCCGCAGGUUAUUCCUAGGUUAUAUUAGUAAUUAAAAGCUAAUGAUUAAUAAUGUUUAUAGUAAUGAUUGGUAAUUGUCUAUGAUCAUCUCUAUAUCUAAUUUGUAUUAUGACUAUUCUUAUUCUAAUUAUUUUCUUUAUUAUAUUGAAACAGUUUGUGCCUUCAGUCUCUUGCCCCAGCACCUGAGUAAUCCUCCACCCACAGGGCCACAGGCCCCAUGAGAUCUCUGAGGCCACAGAGUGUGUCCACACACGUGACCUCCAGGGUGAUUCGGGCCAGAGCACAGGAAUGGCCCAGGCAGAGGUGGCCUGGGCGUGGGCAGAGAUGGCUCGGGCUGGGCCUGAGGCAUCCAGGGGCUCAGCAUCGCAUCUCCUCAGGGGGGCCAUCUGAGACUGCUGGGCCAGUGAAGAGGCUUCUCCCGGGUACCCACCUGUCCUGUCCAAGAGAGAACAGCCAGCCCCACAGCCCCAAAUGUCUCUGUCCUCCAAGAGGCCAGAUGUGAAUCACAGGAAUUUACAGCCCAGCCUGGCAUGGGAUUUAUGAGUCUGCCUCCAGCCAGGGCUGGUGGGGAGUGGCCACUGUCAGCCCCCCAUUGCCGCUGAUGGAUGAGGCUGUUUCCUGUAAGACAAACUCCCUCUGUGGCAGGCAGUGGAGGGAGACACAUCCAGGCCCUAGGGCCAACCCCAUACCUGUCCCAGAGCCGGAUCCCUCGUGCCCUCACAGUCCAUGCCUCCCCUUGAUCCCCAGCCCUACACAGUGACACGCAAGCAGGAGGUGCACCCAAGGGGCCCAGCUCUUAGCCAGAGCUCUGCCUCCCACACUGCCAUCUGCACCCCCUCCCCAUGACCUUUAAAACCUUUCCAUCCCAGGGCCCAAGCCUUGGGACCAGCCCAAGAUGGGAUAUACCACACUCAAAGCCAGAAUGGAUCUCUGAGGUAGCCCAGAACACACACACGCACGCACGCACGCAUAUAUACACACACAUGCAUGCAUGCACAUACACAGUACACAGAUGAGAAACCAGGGUCCAGAGAGGAAUGGGCCUUGCCCAAAGUCACCCAGCAGCACAGUGGUGAAGCUGAGACCCCAGCCCACAAGCCCCCUGGACUGGUCAUUUCAGUGUCCGGUCACAGUGGACUGUCAUAUGGCCACAGGGGUAGUUUUCACCUCCAAAUGCAGGUGCCUCUCCAGAGAACAGACAGACCUGGGUUUGAGUCCAUGCCCCACCACUCUGUGUGUAAAGGUCAUAAACUCUCUGUGCCCGUUCCCUCACCUGAAAAAUGGGGAUCAAAAUAACCCCAACUUACCAAGGUUCUUACGAGGUUCAAGUGAGAGGAUGCAGGUAGAGCCGCAGGACAGAGUGGGCCCCUGGCACAUGCUCCCUGAGUGGUAACAAUGGUUCUCCACCAUCUCUCGUGUCUCAAGGGGCCCCGCUGCCUGAUUUGCUGCGGGCAGGAGGACAGUCAUGGUUGGGUGGGGCAGGAGGAGCAAGGAGAGUUUGAGUGUGGGACUGCAGGGCAGGAGUGAGGCCACUUCCUACUGGAGGAGACCCUGGAAGUCUCCCUGGAGGUGGUGGCAUCAAGCAGAGGAUGUAGAACUCUGUUUCUCUUGCUCUGAAGCUGACUGGGGGCUUCUUGAUUGCCACAGGGAUGGAGGGAAGCACCCUACCCUGAAAGCCUAGCCCAAGCUUCUGCCCUGGAUGACCUGAGGAGGAGUCCCUCCUUUCUCUGGGCAUCAGCAAAAUGGGGCCGGGAGGACUAGACAACACUCCCUAGAGGCACCUUUCUGCUCUGGCCUUGUUGCAAGCUGAAGAAGGUCCUCCAGACCCACCCUCUGCAGUACCCAAUUAUUGCCACUGGGCAGCAGCAGGGAGUAAAUCUGCGGUCCGGCCUCCUUUCCCUGCCGGCCAGUCCCUCUCCCAGCAUCCGGUGGUCUUUGCUCCUCCGUCCCCCCGCCAACUCGCCAGAGAGCCAGAGCUG